rnacentral:rRNA from 1 species
CACGUAGGGGGCAAGCGUUGUCCGGAUUUAUUGGGCGUAAAGAGCUCGUAGGCGGCUCACUAAGUCAGCUGUGAAAGCUCCAGGCUCAACCUGGAGAGGCCAGCUGAUACUGGUGUGGCUAGAGUCCGGUAGGGGAGCAUGGAAUUCCUGGUGUAGCGGUGGAAUGCGCAGAUAUCAGGAGGAACACCAGUGGCGAAGGCGGUGCUCUGGGCCGGAACUGACGCUGAGGAGCGAAAGCGUGGGUAGCAAACAGG